rnacentral:lncRNA from 1 species
GUGAAUGAUGGAUAGUAGAUGGACAUGUGAAUGAUGGAUAGUAGAUGGACAGGUGAAUGAUGGAUAGUAGAUGGACAGGUGAAUGAUGGGUAGUAGAUGGACAGGUGAAUGAUGGGUAGUAGAUGGACAUGUGAAUGAUGGAUAGUAGAUGGACAGGUGAAUGAUGGGUAGUAGAUGGACAUGUGAAUGAUGGACAGUAGAUGGACAGGUGAAUGAUGGAUAGUAGAUGGACAGGUGAAUGAUGGACAGUAGAUGGACAGGUAUAUGAUGGGUAAUAGAUGGACAUGUGAAUGAUGGAUAGUAGAUGGACAUGUGAAUGAUGGAUAGUAGAUGGACAUGUGAAUGAUGGGUAGUAGAUGGACAGGUGAAUGAUGGAUAGUAGAUGGACAGGUGAAUGAUGGAUAGUAGAUGGACAUGUGAAUGAUGGAUAGCAGGUGGACAUGUGCAAGAGGGUAAGUCCCAAAUGGCACCCUAUUCCCUUUAGCGUAUGAUGCACUACUUGGGCCCAUUGGGCUCUGGUCAAAAGCAGUGCACUAUGUAGGGAAUAGGGUGCCAUUUGAGGCGUAACCAAUGAGACGGACAGAGCAGCAGGACUCCAGCCCCCAGAGCCAGCCUGGGUCACAGUACAGACAGGAAGUCCAAGCAUGGUCGUGUUCAUAAGUGCACACCGUAGCAAAACGUUUUGCAACUGAAAACAAAAAAAUUAAGUUUCUUAUUGGACUGGAAGUUCAGGUAGUUCCCUCCGUUGCAGUCUGUUUUCUUCCGUUUGGUGCCUUAUGAACGCACAAGCGUUUCUUAUUGGACAAGCUCAGGUAGUCCCUCCCUGUUUCAGUCCUGUGCCUAAUAAACAUGACCCAGGUGUGUGACCAGUGGCCACAGAAGUCACACUAAGGUCACCACAACACUGGACAGUCCAG